rnacentral:lncRNA from 1 species
AUCAACACUUGGAAUCAUUAUUCAUAUAUAUAUGGUGUUUUUUCGGAACUCAACAUAUGAUGUAGGAGUAGAAACUAAUAGCUAAUUAAUAGUAGUAAACAAAUUGAAGAAAACAGAGCAUCCAAAAUUAUGGAUAUUAAAAUAACUAUAUAACAUAGCUAAACUAAAGAAAAUAGAGGUAGACCAUUAUUUGGUUUAU